rnacentral:rRNA from 1 species
CCGGAGGAAGGUGGGGAUGACGUCAAAUCAUCAUGCCCCUUAUGACCUGGGCUACACACGUGCUACAAUGGUUGGUACAACGAGUUGCGAGUCGGGUGACGGCGAGCUAAUCUCUUAAAGCCAAUCUCAGUUCGGAUUGUAGGCUGCAACUCGCCUACAUGAAGUCGGAAUCGCUAGUAAUCGCAGGUCAGCAUACUGCGGUGAAUACGUUCCCGGGCCUU